rnacentral:tRNA from 1 species
UGACUUAUGGUGUAAUGGUAGCACUACAGAUUCUGGAUCUGUCUGUCUAGGUUCGAAUCCUAGUAAGUCAACAA